UACAGAGGUCUCAAGCGUUGUUCGGAUUCAUUGGGCGUAAAGGGUGCGUAGGUGGCGCCGUAAGUCGGGUGUGAAAUUUCGGAGCUUAACUCCGAAACUGCAUUCGAUACUGCGGUGCUUGAGGACUGGAGAGGAGACUGGAAUUCAUGGUGUAGCAGUGAAAUGCGUAGAGAUCAUGAGGAAGACCAGUGGCGAAGGCGGCCCCCUGGGCCGUACCUGACGCUGAGGCGCGAAGGCUAGGGGAGCGAACAGG
rnacentral:rRNA from 1 species